UCCAGACUCCUACGGGAGGCAGCAGUGGGGGAUAUUGCACAAUGGGGGAAACCCUGAUGCAGCGACGCCGCGUGGGCGAAGAAGUAUUUCGGUAUGUAAAGCCCUAUCAGCAGGGAAGAAGAAAUGACGGUACCUGAGUAAGAAGCACCGGCUAAAUACGUGCCAGCAGCCGCGGGAAUACGUAUGGUGCAAGCGUUAUCCGGAUUUACUGGGUGUAAAGGGAGCGCAGGCGGCACGGCAAGCGUGAUGUGAAAGCGCGCGGCCCAACCGCGGGACUGCAUUGGGAACUACCGGGCUGGAGUGCCGGAGAGGUAGGCGGAAUUCCUAGUGUAGCGGUGAAAUGCGUAGAUAUUAGGAGGAACACCAGUGGCGAAGGCGGCCUACUGGACGGUGACUGACGCUGAGGCUCGAAAGCGUGGGGAGCCAACAGGAUUAGAUACCCUCGUA
rnacentral:rRNA from 1 species